GACGAACGCUGGCGGCGCGCCUAACACAUGCAAGUCGAACGGAGUUAUUCGAAAGCUUGCUUUUGGAUAACUGAGUGGCGGACGGGUGAGUAACGCGUGAGCAAUCUGCCUUUCAGAGGGGGAUAACAGCCGGAAACGGCUGCUAAUACCGCAUAAUGCAUCGGAUUCGCAUGUUUCUGAUGCCAAAGAUUUUAUCGCUGAAAGAUGAGCUCGCGUCUGAUUAGCUAGUUGGCGGGGUAACGGCCCACCAAGGCGACGAUCAGUAGCCGGACUGAGAGGUUGAACGGCCACAUUGGGACUGAGACACGGCCCAA
rnacentral:rRNA from 1 species